CUGGGUCGCGCGGAUCUUCAGAGAUUAGAGUUUGAUCAUGGCUCAGGAUGAACGCUAGCGGCAGGCCUAAUACAUGCAAGUCGAACGAAUCUAGUUCUUUCGGGAACUAGGUUAGUGGCGCACGGGUGCGUAACGCGUAUGCAACUUACCUUCCACAGGGGGAUAGCCCACCGAAAGGUGGAUUAAUACCGCAUAACACGACUGGGUGGCAUCACCUGUUCGUCAAAGAUUUAUCGGUGGAAGAUGGGCAUGCGUGCCAUUAGUUAGUUGGUAGGGUAAUGGCCUACCAAGACUUCGAUGGCUAGGGGUUCUGAGAGGAUGGUCCCCCACACUGGUACUGAGACACGGACCAGACUCCUACGGGAGGCAGCAGUAGGGAAUAUUGGGCAAUGGUCGAGAGACUGACCCAGCCAUGCCGCGUGCAGGAAGAAGGCCUUCUGGGUUGUAAACUGCUUUUAUCUGGGAAGAAAACGCCCUUGCGAGGGUAACUGACGGUACCAGAUGAAUAAGCACCGGCUAACUCCGUGCCAGCAGCCGCGGUAAUACGGAGGGUGCAAGCGUUGUCCGGAUUUAUUGGGUUUAAAGGGUGCGUAGGCGGCCCGUUAAGUCAGUGGUGAAAUCCUAGGGCUCAACCCUGGAACUGCCGUUGAUACUGGCGGGCUUGAGUUCGGUUAAGGCGGGCGGAACUGGUGGUGUAGCGGUGAAAUGCAUAGAUACCACCAAGAACCCCGAUUGCGUAGGCAGCUCGCUGAGCCGAAACUGACGCUGAGGCACGAAAGCGUGGGGAGCGAACAGGAUUAGAUACCCUGGUAGUCCACGCCGUAAACGAUGAAUACUCGAUGUUAGCGAUAUACUGUUAGCGUCCAAGCGAAAGCGUUAAGUAUUCCACCUGGGGAGUACGCCCGCAAGGGUGAAACUCAAAGGAAUUGACGGGGGCCCGCACAAGCGGUGGAGCAUGUGGUUUAAAA
rnacentral:rRNA from 1 species